ensembl:lncRNA
GAUGAACAUAAGGUCAUUCCUCAGCUGGCGCACAGAUGAGAACUGACUUCUGAGAAGCUACAAGGAUUGUUUGGCAAGAGGCCUGGAAUGACUCACGGCACAUGCAGAUGACACAAUAUUGCAAAGAGUUCAGGAGAACAUUCUUUCCAUUUCUGUGCAGAAUGCAAUGACUGCAACCACAGGGCUCUGGAAGGUCUUCGGAGGUGGAGGUGCUGGCCAUGCCUGCCGGAGUUCAUCUUUGUAGAAUGCAGCAGCACAGUGGAGGGAAGGUGGCUACUUCACAAAAAUCUGUGGGCAGCAACUUAAACGGUGAAACCACAGACUAAGACAAGCCUUGGAGAUCUCUAACUGCCUAUAGAAGAAGUGAUACUGAGGAGGAAGGAAACAACCCCAGAUCUAAAUAAGCUGGAAAAGAAGGCACGUGAAUUCCAAAGUCUUUUUUUUCAGAAUCAAGGUGUUUUACCACCCAACUUUGGGUUUAGAAAAGUGAAGAAAGCAUUAAAAUCCUGUCUAAAAACCAAAAUCACCAUAAAGAUAAAGAGAGUUGAAACUUCUAUGAUGAAUAGGAGUUGCAGCUCCUUCAGCCUGAAGAGCCAGAGCAAGGAUGACAGCGUGAGCGAAAACGCCAAGGGCAUCAGACAGGCUUGGUCUUUCAACUUGCAGCCUAUUCGUCUAAAGGUACAAUUGUCACAGUCACCUGCUGGUCUUUACACACAUUCACAGUCUGAGUGAAGAAUUGUAACCUUUGGAUAAAGAGAAGAGAAGCAGCUUUAUCAUCUGUAUCAGGCAGUUGUACACUACUCAACUAAGAGAGACCAGGAAUUACUUUCAAAAGCUUCUUCUCCAAUAUACCAGUAAGGACUCUCAGUGGAUCAAUGUCCACAGAUGCAGGCGAAGGGCCUUACCAACCUCCACCACAUCACCUGGUUCUGGUGCUAGAGGAUGUUUUCAAACACUGGCAGUGUGGGAGUAACUAAUCAGGAAGAUUUAGACUAGAAAUCUUCCCUCUGGAUAACUAAACAAAAAUAGAGGAUAAUGGAGCUGAACUAGUUUUGCCGCGGAGAACAAUCAGAAUGCCUUCUAUCACCAUUGCCCAAAUAUUCCCAUUAUGUAAAGAAAUGUAUGGCUUGCUCCCAUCCUAGAGUUGCUUAAUUGUUUCAGUUGUCUUUUUCUUCUUCUCCAAAUAGAUUUUACAUUUGUAACGGGUAAGAAUUGAAACUUGUAUUAUAUUUCUUUUCUAUACACAAUGCUACUCCCUUUGACCUGCUCUGAUUUCCAUAAGGAUAAUUACCCAUAUAUCAAUUCUAUAACCCACACUUCCUUUCCUUACUCCAUAAGUAUGAGGACAGAGAGACCCUUUCAAGAAUAGACAGAUAACUACUCCCUGGGCAUUGUUUAGGGAUUAUCAGAAUGGUCCUUCUGGUAUUUUAGGGCACUAUUGUCAUAUUUCUAACUUGAGAGGUUAAAAUCAAAAUGCAAUUCUCCAGAAUAACCUAGUGCACACACACACAUACACACACACACACACAGAGGAGAUAAUAAAGUCUUGAAAUAAUUCAAUUCCAUUUAAAAUUUUAUUAAACCUUUAUUGCAUGGGAGAUACCGGGCUAGGUGCUGCAGGUAAUACAGAAUUGAGCAAGACCUGGCUUUGGCCUGCAAGAGUCCACUCUCUGGUAAAGGAGACAGACAGCGACGUAAAUAACUCCAAGAUGAGACACUUUGUAAUAAACACAACCCUGGAAGAAAAUAAAACAUUAUCAGAGUGUCCAUUAUAUACGUAAUUACAGAGGUAUCAAAUCACUAGGUCUACACUUUAAACUAUAUAAAUAGGAGUUUGAACGAGAUCACCUCUCUUUCUGCACACAGAGUGCAGCACAGCUCUGUGUAUUCGUUGACCUUUAUUCCAAAAUUGUCUCUUUGUAAUACAGUUUUCUAAGUUGAUUUCAAGUGUCUGUUGAUCUUUCUUGCUAAAUUAGCAUCUCUGUCUCUGAAUGUCAUUUUCUCUGUUAUAACUCGUUCAUUCUCCCCGCCCCCCCCCCACCCAGGCUUCUCUCUCCUUCUAUCCUCCUUUACCUAUCUUUCCUCUUCAUUUUAUUGUUGUAUUUCCUAUUUGUCCGCUUUCUUCUGUACCGCGAUAUUUUCCCGGACACAAUGAUUUCUUUUCUUGUAUUGUUAUCCAUGUGGCGAGAGAAGUGAUUUUCUUUUGAAGGGAAAAUAUUGUCAGGAGGACAAUAAUCCCCCUCAAAAUAAUCCCCUUAGUUCUGCAUCUUGCUGGUUCUUAGAAACAGGAACAAGCACAUAUCUUCUUUUCUAAUUGUCCACGGCUCUAUUGAGAAAGCUUCCGGUCUUUCUAUAUAAUGAGUAGUUGACAAAGGUAAGAGCAGAGACACGACCUAACGACUUUUGGCCAGUGCGAUGCUGGGCACAUCAGAGGAGAUCAAUAGGCACUCACUGGUUGGUAACUGAAGCUCCUCUGUUAGAACACACAGUGAAUGUCUGUAAGCACCCACUACUUCAGAUUGUAGUCUCCUGUAUUUGCCGUACACCUUAUUCACACGCAGUACCUCAUUGGAUCCCAGUCAUAGAGCUGUGAGACAGUCUGCUCCUGCUGAAGUCUGGUGACAUCAGGUGACACUAUGAGUGUCCCUGAGAAUCUGGUACUGGAACCUUGGUCUCUGACUCCAAAUACAGUACUUUUUACUUCUAGUCUAGCAUCUGACCCCCUGGUACCAACAUUUAGAACUUGAGCGAGACGUGCUGCAGUUGUUUUAAAUUCAUUUGUUAAUAAUUUGAUUUUCCACUCUAAAAUGCUCAUGAUUGAAAAGAAACAUUUCGAUUCAAAUAUAACUUUUUUUCCUGUUUCCUCCUUUAAAAUAUGCUCUGCUGAUUUUGAUGAGCAGAAAAAUAUUGUAACUAUGGGUUGGCUUGUAGUAGAGAUGCUUCACUGACCAAACAUGAGACGGAAGUUCAAGGAGCAUCAGUGGAGAAAAGGGAGCUCUCCUCAUUAAUAAAAGCAAUUAGUGUGUCCUCAGCUGAGCAGCCAGCUAGCCUGGGGUGUUCUCCACGCACUGCAGGCAUCUGAGCGUGGUCUGUUAACUAGGCAAGCUCUUUUUGUCAGGACACAAAAUAUUGUCAUUGAUUUUAAUUGUCUUCUCCACUUUACGACUCCCAAUUCACAGCUGAUGGUGCUUCAGGGAGAGUUUGCUUUUUGGAGAGAACUUUCACUGUGUCCACCCUCUGAGACAGCAAGAGUAGUCUGCAUUUUGAAAAAUUGAAGUGGGACAUUUAAUUUCUCUAAAGAUUAAAGCAAAAACUUCCAUCCUGAGUGACUUACUUUGAGUUAACCACGGCUGCUGGAAAGCUACAGGUGGAAACGAUGGUCAAACCAUUGAUAUCUUCUGUCACAUCUCUUAAAAUUACGUCUCAGAACAGCAAGUCCAGCAUAGGAGGGGAAGAUUUGGAGCUUCCAAGUAAGACUAUGGGUGGGAUUCCCCCAGUCACUGGGACCAAGAAAACCACACAGUUUGGAGAAUUUAUAGCACGUCCUGGCCCUUGUAUAACUUCCUCAUUACUUAGCAGAGCAGGGUUUGGCCUGUUCUUUCAGAUGUCAAGGAACAGACCCAACUCCAGUGUCUUUGUUGAAUGAUGAGUUCAUUGUAAAUGUGCAUGGGAAUAAAAAGGAAGAGAAAAAUGUCAUAUCUGCCAUAAAUCGCCUCCUCAUGGACAAUUGGAACUGAGCCAUUGCUGUCCAGGGCACAGCAGUAGCUCGAGUCAGCCUGCAACAGUGCUGGUGGCCUAACAGCCACUCAAGUUGUUCAAAACUCAGCUCUCCUUUCCCUGCUGCUAUUUUGUCUGCGCUAAUGAAGAACUGACAUUUAUUUUUCUUUCUCUAAUUCUUGAAUUCAGCUUUUACUUUCUUUUGGCUUCUACUACUACCAUCUCUGUGCGUCUCAACUCUUCUAUGCAGCUGUAGUGAAUUUUUGUCAUUUUCUGAUUGUCCAGAAUCUCACCACUACCUUCCUUCCUAAUCACAUUAAAUCCUCUUUAUAGGGAAUUCUUGAUUAUGUUCCAUCUUGGUGGAGAGCAUCCCUUACCUCCACUGCAGAAAUUAAGGGGUCUUGAACUUCCCUCUCCCUGCCUUGUAGAACUCAGGGGGUAAGCACUGCCUUAGAUUUUGCCAAUAUGAUUAUUUCUUCUCAAACUUCAAAUCUUGAGCAGAUGAUGCAAGAAUUUGAAAAUGGUUAGAGAGCUUAUUCAUCUCAGCAGCAGGAGUAUGUGCAGUACCUAUUGUUCCUGUGCAUGACCUUGACUCCUGCUUAUUUUCCAGACUCUAUACGUUUCCCAUACAUCGCCUAUAUUUUCUUUUUGUUGCUUCUUAGAGAUAUCUUUCCAGUAAAUUUCCUUUUCUUGUAAAACAUUAGACUGUAAGUGCCACAAGGACUGGGAAAUUUUCCUGCUUUGUUCACUGUAAGGAUUUAGUGCAUCAAGCGUGUCUGAC